UACCAUCAAAAAGAGCAACUCUAGCAUUCCGAUCCCUGAACCCGAUGUUUUCAGAAGCAUAGGAAAGUUAAUUUACAAAAGGGUUCAAGAGGUAAAUGUUGCUUCAUAUAAUAAUUUUCUCCCUCUUACAUAUGUUCUCAACACUUACAUAGACACUUAAACCAUUAUUCAUAUAAUAAUUUCAUUAUAACAUAUGCUAUAGGAUGCAAACAAUCUAAAAAAUAUGCAUAUACGAUAUACCAGUCAAUACAGUCUUUGUGUAAAGCUACUGAAAGUUUUUAUAAGAAAAAAUGGAAGAUAGUGUCUGUAUGAUCUGUUCAAAGCUUAUACUCUCAAACAAUUAAUCUCAAGCAAAGCUUCUCCCUCUUCCCGAAUAUAAUUGAAAUAGAACUCAUAUUUUUUCAAUUAGGGAGAAAGUUACCAGAAACUGUGUUAGGUUACUUACACGGAUCAAGAAUAUUUUUAUAGAACUACAAAAUGCAAUCAGUGAUUUGAGAAUCUCUUAAAAACUCUUCCUAAUGUUCAAAUGAAAAAAAUAUUACGUAAAUGUAUUUUGAAUAAUUCAAGGUUACAAAAACGGAGUCGGAAGCAUCAAUGAAUGACAAAACAGACUCAGAUCUUGAAAGUUCCAUGAACAGCACUGACAUUUACAGGAUCAGUCUGUGGCAUGUGGAGCUAAGGAACGGCAAGUCAGCCAGAAAAUGGAAGAUCAAAAUCUUAACCAACCCCUCCAUAAACACAAUGCAGAUUAAAAAUCACAGGUUUAGUGGGAAAAGAUAUUGAAUUUCCUUAGCCAGGAUACCAAGAAGCUAUAUUAUACCUAAUACGAACAUCUAAUGCAAUUUUGCAUAUCCCCAAUUUAUCAAAUGCUCACACAAAGAAACAACAAUACAUUAUAAUCGCUCCUGUAUAAGAUGUAUAUCAUUAAAUAGUAAAAAAAAAAAGUAGAGAUUUCAGUAUUCAGAUCUCAUUCUCUCAGUCCAAAUGCUAGUCAUGAAGGUACGAUCACAAAUUGAUCUAAAAAAAACCAAUUAACUUCCGAAUGCACUCACAACUUUAUAACAUCAAUCCUCCAAUCAAUUGUGUCAAAACACAAAUCGAGAAUCAUUACACGCAAUAAAACACCAGCGCGCAUUAAAAAAAAUUAAAGAAAAAGGAAUUGUUAGAUCAAAACCUUCUAGGAUUCAUAAUUGAGGAGAUGCGACUGUACAGAGAUCGCCAACAGAAGUAGAGAUCAAGCCGCGGCUAUAAAUGCAAUCCUGCGAAACAAUUCAGAUGAAAAAUAAAAUAAACUCACAUCAAGUGACAAAAGCUUCAUCCACACCGAAUAAAAACAAAAAUCAUAAGGGUUUUAGAAUGCUAAACCGCUAAAUUAUCGGAUUACAAUCUGAAGGCGUCAGAAACGGGGAAAGAAACUUCCGAUUGAAAAAACUUAUAGAUCUGAAAGAAAUCAAUGACAAGAGCGUUGGCCCACGCCGCCCACCUUUGGAAGUGAAAAUUGACGCUAAUAUUCAGAAAUCACAGUUUCGAAAUUAUUCAAGAUUAACAGAUAAGUAUAGCUCUCAAAAAAAAAAAAAAAAAAUACACAGAUAAGUAUAAAGUGUGUAUAACACAGAUAUUAAAAUUGGGCCCUUUAGAGGCCUGAUUUAGCAGGAUUUC
rnacentral:lncRNA from 1 species